rnacentral:rRNA from 1 species
ACGGGAGGCAGCAGUGGGGAAUAUUGGACAAUGGGGGAAACCCUGAUCCAGCGACGCCGCGUGAGUGAAGAAGUAUUUCGGUAUGUAAAGCUCUAUCAGCAGGGAAGAUAAUGACGGUACCUGACUAAGAAGCCCCGGCUAACUACGUGCCAGCAGCCGCGGUAAUACGUAGGGGGCAAGCGUUAUCCGGAUUUACUGGGUGUAAAGGGUGUGUAGGCGGAGAGGCAAGUCAGGCGUGAAAUGCGUGGGCUCAACCCACGAAUUGCGCUUGAAACUGUUUCCCUUGAGAGUGGGAGAGGUUAACGGAAUUCCUGGUGUAGUAGUGAAAUGCGUAGAUAUCAGGAGGAACACCGGUGGCGAAGGCGGUUGACUGGACCACAACUGACGCUGAGACACGAAAGCGUGGGGAGCAAACAGGAUUAGAUACCCUGGUA